UAUAAAAAUAAAAAAAGAAAUUUUCCAGCGGAAGCCCCAGCGGUGGCCGUAUCACUAUCCUUUCUUUUUUGGGGUUUCACCUCGUGAGUCGUGAGGCUCGGAACGCUUGACUGAACGGAGUUGGAGUGUGAAGAUCGUAAUUUCGCAAUACGUAAUACAACCAAAAAGGCAACCUCAAAAAGUCACUCUGUGUCACUCUCCUCGCAAAGCACAGAGCGAGCGACAAGAGAGAGAGACAGAGAGAGAGAGAGGGAGACGUACGGUAAAGAUGGCUCCUCAGAUUCCUGGUUUCAACUCACUUUCUCAGUUUCUCUCUCUAUAUGCACAUGCGAUUAAGGAUUUCUUUGCCUUUUUUCUCUUCAUGGGAUCUCUUUGGUGUGUUCAGAUCUGUGCUGUUUGAUCCCAUUGCUCGUUAUUACUGUUCUGUUUGUUUAUUUUAUUGGUGCGUUUUGUGGUAUCGAGAUUUCCCUUUUGAUCCAGCAGUUAGUUUCUGCUUUCAAGUCUUUGUGCUUUGUUAUGUUUUGUUCUUUGUCGUCAAGAAAAUACAGGCAAAAUAGUAUUUUUUUUCUCUGUUGUAGAUUUUUCAUUUGUGUUUAUUUUGUCAGUGUCGGGUUGAAGUCACUGGAGGCAGCGGUUCAUCGACCUCUUCCUGAGAAUUUGUUGUGGCAUUAACACAAAACAUGAAUCGGUCGAUAAACCUCUGCAUCCAGCGCUCACCCUCUCUCUCAUUGUUUACAUUUAUUUCAUUAUUUUCAUAGUAUUCUUUGUUGUUGCUGAGAAAUUGAAGGAAACCAAAAUAAAACUAAUAUCUUGUGUAUACUGAUCGGUAUGGAACGGUGUUUGUGUUUUGUUUUGUUGUUGUUUAGGGGGGGUUGUCUUGAUUUAAUUCCGCCUUUGUUUUGGUUUGUGUAUUUCCGUUACUUGAAAAUAGAAAGAGCACAGAGAUAUAUAGACGAUAAAAUUUAAUCCUCUUCCGUUUGUACUGCUUUCUUAGCAACGAAGUGAUGGGGGACAUGCCUUAAAGUACAUAUGAGUGGGGAGCUAUAUCUUUAUUUGAUUGGCACCUUUUGUCCGAGAACAGCAUCUGACUAAUCCCGAACAGCAUCCAAACAAAUCUCGGAGUGCACAGGCCCUCGGCAACUCGAACUAUAUCUAUCAUAUCGAUGGGGGUGCCUCCUUUCCAUUUUAGCAAGAAGUCCUUCUGUUUGUGCUCCAUCUUGUGUGGACUAACUUCUGGAUGGCGUUUUAUUCUAAGCCAGUUGUUCAUGAUAUUCUUAAGACGAAAACAAUAGCUAUUCUUUAUUUUUUGUUUCAUAUUGUUUCUGCUGGUGUUUAGUUUAUUGUGCAUUAGACUUUCUGUGUUCUAUAGUUUCUUGUGCUUCAAAGUAUCACAAGAUAUGCAUCUAAAUUUGCAAAACACUUCUACUGUUAGGAAUUAGCUUUGAGGUCUUAAGUGUUCUCUUGACUAUAUUCUGUGCUCAAUCAUUCUGAAUCUCUGAUGUUUUCGGUUCGUUGAAAUUAAUGAAGAGGAUUGGAAAGUAACGCAUGAAGAUCAAGAUCCCCUGAAAUUCUUACAGAAUUGUUUUCUUCUCUUUUCUCCCCAAAUGAGAAUAAUUGGAAUGGAUUCUAUGCCAAUUACAUGUCAUUUUGCUUGAGCAGGUGGUUGUAAAGUUAUAACUUGUUUCUACCUCUGAUAAUGGUAAGAGAGUAUCUUUGAAAGGAAGUUCUGAAGUGGCAGACAUGGUAUUGUUGUAAUGUCUAUGAAAAUGAGGGGAAAUCAACAGUUUUGAGUGCAAGUUGCUACAGUAUCUUCUAGAUACCUUGUUGGGUUCCUAGAGCAGGAAACAAAAAAAAAAAAGAAAAAAAAAAUAAAAGA